rnacentral:rRNA from 1 species
CUCCUGAGGUGACGAGCGGCGGACGGGUGAGUAAUGCCUAGGGAUCUGCCCAGUCGAGGGGGAUAACAGUUGGAAACGACUGCUAAUACCGCAUACGCCCUACGGGGGAAAGGAGGGGACCUUCGGGCCUUCCGCGAUUGGAUGAACCUAGGUGGGAUUAGCUAGUUGGUGAGGUAAUGGCUCACCAAGGCGACGAUCCCUAGCUGUUCUGAGAGGAUGAUCAGCCACACUGGGACUGAGACACGGCCCAGACUCCUACGGGAGGCAGCAGUGGGGAAUAUUGCACAAUGGGGGAAACCCUGAUGCAGCCAUGCCGCGUGUGUGAAGAAGGCCUUCGGGUUGUAAAGCACUUUCAGUAGGGAGGAAAGGUGAUGUGUUAAUAGCACAUUGCUGUGACGUUACCUACAGAAGAAGGACCGGCUAACUCCGUGCCAGCAGCCGCGGUAAUACGGAGGGUCCGAGCGUUAAUCGGAAUUACUGGGCGUAAAGCGUGCGCAGGCGGUUUGUUAAGCCAGAUGUGAAAUCCCCGGGCUCAACCUGGGAAUUGCAUUUGGAACUGGCGAACUAGAGUCUUGUAGAGGGGGGUAGAAUUCCAGGUG